GGCGUUUCAUCCCUAGGGUGUUUUAAAGAGCCAGAGGUAGCAAGACCAGAGUUUUCUCAAACCACCAUAAAGAAAUGUGAAAUGGUCUGGCAGCACACAGCCUGAAAUACUGAAGUGCAGACCUCCAAAGAGGGAUUCAGCAGUGAACAGGUCUAUUAUCCUAUUCCCCCUCCAUAAAAAAACCCAAAACACGCAGACCGACCUAUGCCCUGCUGCAUGCAGCAUGCCUUGCUGCCCAGCAAGACACUGAGCAGUAGCUUGCCCACCUGACAAAGCAACAGGUGAAUUCACACGGGUUUUUGAUAGUUAACCAAAUUCCACCCCUUUUUAAUGUUUGCACGUUACUGGUGCCUGCUAGUGGGAAGACAGAAAGGAAAGCCAUACCAAAACAAAUUUUCCAUCUACUAUCUACCUCAGCGUCUGCUGAUAAAACCACCGUAGGCAAACCAACAUGCAUACCAGAAAAUCAGUAGAUAAAUUAGCUUAUUGUACCAGCCAAUUAUUAUUAAAACAGGCACAGUUAACAGUGUGCUGGUACAGCUCAUUCUAAGCCCCUGGGGAGAAACACACUGUCCUGGCAGAAGUGCAAAUCUUGAUACUGAAAUAGCCAAGCUUGAAACGUCAGUGAGAAGACCUGGGCUUUUGUGCUCUCCGAUCCAGGGCAGAAAGGAUGCGUUACAUUGACGGGACCUGUCUCUAACCAGCUGAAACAUGGACAAAAGCAACAAGACUUCUGAAGACAUUUUCUGAUGAAGUAUUAGGUGCUUUCCCUGAUCUUCAAAAGCCUGGAGCUGUGCUCACAGCAGAAGCCUUAUCCAUGCUGGCUGCACGGGGCCCACCUGGGAAGGCGACGAGCGGAGGAGCCGGGAGAAUGCAGUGGGUGGUGUCUCACUUAAUUGCACCUGACGUUUCUCUUUCAUUUCCCAGUGUGUAAUGCGGUUCUUAAUAAGAAUGUGAAAAUGCUAACGCCACCAGAAGGGCCCUCCGAAAGUUCUGCAGAAGGACUGUAACAUGCACAUUCUGGAAAGGCUGUAUCGUGCGCAUAGGCAGAAUGCUGCCAGCCUGGCUGCUGAUUUUCAAGAGGGGCCUUGCACAAGAGUAGGUCAGAAGA
rnacentral:lncRNA from 1 species